GUACGAUUGGAUGUUCAGUCGGUAGAACAGGAGACUCUUAAUCUCAGGGUUGUGGGUUCGAGCCUCACAUUGGGCA